GGCCUGAUGGCAAGGCUUUGGCUAUACUCUAGAUGAAACAUUACUUUGAUCAGUAGCUGAGGGGGUCUUGUGGGUUACGAAACCUUAAAAACAGACUACAGAAGUAUACUGGAACAUCCGUGACAGGGUGCAGCACUUUCACUCCAGUCUCUGAACUAUUCAAAGGGUCUUUUACUGCUCUCUUGUGGAUGUGUAGCUCAUAUAACAUUAUUUAUUUAUUUAGCAGAUACUGAAUGAAUAUGGCAGUAAACUGGUAGACCCUAACAAGGAUAAAUAAAAGGGAGAUUACUUGUAA